rnacentral:rRNA from 1 species
UACAGAGGGGGCAAGCGUUUGUUCGGAAUUACUGGGCGUAAAGGGCUCGUAGGCGGCCAACUAAGUCAGACGUGAAAUCCCUCGGCUUAACCGGGGAACUGCGUCUGAUACUGGAUGGCUUGAGUUUGGGAGAGGGAUGCGGAAUUCCAGGUGUAGCGGUGAAAUGCGUAGAUAUCUGGAGGAACACCGGUGGCGAAGGCGGCAUCCUGGACCAAUACGUGACGCUGAGGAGCGAAAGCCAGGGGAGCAAAGC